rnacentral:rRNA from 1 species
GACGAACGCUGGCGGCGUGCUUAACACAUGCAAGUCGAACGGAAAGGCCCUGCUUUUGUGGGGUGCUCGAGUGGCGAACGGGUGAGUAACACGUGAGUAACCUGCCCUUGACUUUGGGAUAACUUCUGGAAACUGGGGCUAAUACCGGAUAGGAGCUCCUGCUGCAUGGUGGGGGUUGGAAAGUUUCGGCGGUUGGGGAUGGACUCGCGGCUUAUCAGCUUGUUGGUGGGGUAGUGGCUUACCAAGGCUUUGACGGGUAACCGGCCUGAGAGGGUGACCGGCCACAUUGGGACUGAGAGACGGCCUAGACUCCUACGGGAGGCAGCAGUGGGGAAUAUUGCACAAUGGGCGGAAGCCUGAUGCAGCAACGCCGCGUGCGGGAUGACGGCCUUCGGGUUGUAAACCGCUUUCGCCUGUGACGAAGCGUGAGUGACGGUAAUGGGUAAAGAAGCACCGGCUAACUACGUG